UAUGUUCUAAGGGGCUAUGGCACACAAAAAAACUUAAGCAGUAAGCGAAUCGACCAAUCACAAUCGAGAAUGUAAGGUUAUAACGUAAGCAGUAGCAAAUCCAACACGUCAAAUCUGCCUACGUCUUACUGCUAAAGUUUUUUUUGUGUGCGAUGAUCCUAAGAGUUGCUCUUCAUGAUUUUUAUUUAUUUAACUUUGAGAAAAAUCGCUAACUCCGCUCCGAGAAAUGAAAUGAAGCCAAGAACCUCAGGAGAGAGGAUAAAGUAGCCAACCAACAUCUUUAACCAGUAAUGGGUGACAUUCCAAAACGUCAAAAUGUUAACCAACAUUAUUGAAUGUACACUAACACUACUUCAUGAAGCACCGUAUGUGAUUACCGGAUAAAUAUCGCGUCUGUCUUCAACUCAUCUGGUACCAAACUAUAGCAUGUUAGCGAUCUAUACAUAUAUGUAUAUUGAAAUCCGUGAUUUUUACACAUUUUAUUACAAAUCGAUAU